rnacentral:rRNA from 1 species
AAUAUUGCACAAUGGGGGAAACCCUGAUGCAGCAACGCCGCGUGAAGGAUGAAGGUUUUCGGAUCGUAAACUUCUUUGACCGGGGACGAACAAAGACGGUACCCGGAAAACAAGCCACGGCUAACUACGUGCCAGCAGCCGCGGUAAUACGUAGGUGGCGAGCGUUGUCCGGAAUUACUGGGUGUAAAGGGCGUGUAGGCGGGAAUGCAAGUCAGAUGUGAAAGCCCGGGGCUCAACCCCGGAUGUGCAUCUGAAACUGUGUUUCUUGAGUGCUGGAGAGGAAAGCGGAAUUCCUAGUGUAGCGGUGAAAUGCGUAGAUAUUAGGAGGAACACCAGUGGCGAAGGCGGCUUUCUGGACAGUAACUGACGCUGAGGCGCGAAAGCGUGGGGAGCAAACAGG